AAAAAAAAAAAAAAAAAAGCCCAUCACGCUGGCCAGGGCCCAGGAACUGGGCUCUGGAAGCGAGUCCUGCUUCUUGUCGUGAGCAGCCCCAGUGAGAAGAGGAGCCAGAGGCCCAGCGGGGUGGGGGCCCCAGCGUAGCUCCUGGGGUCUGGGUUUCACUGGCUGCCCCCAGCCCCUGGCAGAAGCCAGGCUGUGAGGUGUGGUUGUCACCCCUCUGACACAGCCUCUCCAGGGACGGUCUUCCAGCCUGGGGCCAAGGAGUGUGUGGAUGUGGAAACUGCAGGGGGUUGUGGCACCCUCACAGACCCUUCCAGACCAGGGGCCUGGUCACACGCUGAGCCCUUUGUUCUGUCUUCAGGGUCUGCACAGUGCCCUCUGCUGGGCUCAUGAGGGAGUGUAGGUGGCCCCAGCCUAGAGGCUUGAAGGAGCUGGAAGGUUCCUGAUCAGCCAGGACUCAGGGAUCUGCUGUGCUUGGCCUGGGUGAACCCUGACCCUGGUCCCACGCUGAGCCUGGCCCUGGUCCCACGCUGAGCCUGGCCCUGGUCGCACGCUGAGCCUGGCCCUGGUCCCACGCUGAGCCCUGGCCCUGGUCCUGGUCCCACGCUGAGCCCUGACCCUGGUCCCACUCUGAGCCCUGGUCCUGGUCACACGCUGAGCCCUGGCCCUGGUCCCACUCUGAGCCCUGACCCUGGUCCCACGCUGAGCCCUGACCCUGGUCCCACGCUGAGCCCUGACCCUGGUCCCACACUGAGCCCUGGCCCUGGUCCUGGUCCCACGCUGAGCCCUCAGCCUGGCCCCCAUGUUCCCUUAGCUCAUAAGGAGGGCAAAACCAGGGAGCCUGGAGCCCUGUGUAGGUUUCACUCCUUUCCUGGGGGAAGGCAAGAGCCUUUGCUGACCUCCUCCCUCCUCCCCCACAUGUGACUCAGUGCUCUCUGUGGUCACAACACUCCCCCUCCUCCGCCCCCGCCCCAACUCCAGGUGCAGUGCGGUUCCAGGCCCUGGGUGACAGUGUCCCGGGGGUGGAGAGUGACUGUGAAGCUGACUCACUGCACGGCGGGGGAGGUGUGAGCGUCAGAGCUGGGCUCGCCCAAACGCAGACCCCAGCUGGUCCAGGCGGCUCCUGCGGGAGCAUCAGGGCUGCGCCAGGCCCUGGUCAUCGGGUGGGCAGGCGCACACAGGGCCCAGAGCCGAGACCCUUCCAGCCAGCCCCAUUCGCAGAGACCAUGGGGCUUGGGGGCCCAGCAGCCAGCUGCCCUGCCUCUGCCCCUCCCUCUCCAGGGACCUGGGCUCUGGCCCCUCCCAGUCACGAACUGGGGCCAGUGGCCUCUGGCUGCAGAAGUCAGGCUGUAGGCUUUGCGGUGGGGAGGGCCCCAGAGAGCCCGCCGGGGGCAUCCUGCAGGGGCGGGGAACCUCCUUCUCUGUCCAGCCUGGCCCUGUGCUCACUCAGACACAGGUCCCACCUCCACAGGCCUGCAGACAGACACCGGUGGAGCCCAGGGGCUGGGAGUCACAGGCUGAGAGAGCUUCCCAGGGGGACAGUGGGAGGCCAGAAGAGGCCUGUGAGAGCAAAAGGCCAGUGUCCUGGAGGGGGUGGGACCUUCCUGUUGGGGGCCCCUCUGCCAGGCUGUGGUGUCCCGACUGCAGUGGGGAACCUCUGAAGGUGAGGAUUGGGGUACAGAGGUGUGAAGAGUGAGGGGCGGGGGAGCGGGUGAUGGGCAGGCCCUGCGCCCUUGUUCCCCAAGGCUUCGGUGUGAGCUCAGGCCUCCAGACACCGAGACACUGGCCACCACGAGAGUGGGCGGGGCCUCACUGCAGUGGAGAAGAUGGACACCGGCUUUUAUGUCUGGACCUGGCAUGAGCGGGGGCCUGUGCCCGGCCUUCCCGCAUCCCUGCAGUUCCCCAACAAGGCCUGGAGGUGGCCCUGCUCCCCACUUCCAGAUCAGGACCCCACGGAGCAAGGGUGAGGUGGCCCUGGGUUCAGGUCCCGACCCUGUAUCCUCCAGGCUCGCUCUCCAUCUCUCCGCCACAAGCAGCGUACCCGCAGCCUGGCCAACAGCUAUGGGAGGCUGAGGCCCCACUGGCAGCAGACGGAGAAACGGAACAGGAGGGCGAGAGAGGGUGGGGGGUAGGGGGCAGCCGGAAGAGGGGUCUAAGGAGGGAUCUGUUAGCUUAGGAAGCAGCUUGGGCCCCAGGAUGCUCCUCUGAGAAGGGGGCUCAGCUGCGGUUUCCAGCGAGUGGGCAUCUGUUCCCUCAUUUUAUUAAUAACGCAGAACAGUGAUGUCACUGGGCUCUCCGUGAGCCAGCCACUCCACUGACCGAUUCUUCCUAAUUGCGAAAAAGGAGUCUAGGUGUCCUUGGGAGGCUCUGCAGCGGAUUCCACGAGGCCUUGAGUUGCCGCUGUCCACUAGACGCGGGCGUCUGGGCUGCCCCGCCAUCCUAGAAGGGGUGCCCAGCCAGCAGGCGCGGUGACCUCGGCAUUGAGGCUCAGGCCUGGUGGUCCUGGGCCUCCAGAGAGAUACUGCUGGGCACCAGGCUGGCAAAGCAGCCUGGGCCGGGGGUGGGCAGCUGCUGCUACACCCCAGCUGGAGACCUGGAUGAGACCAUGGGGCGGCAGCUAAGGGUGAGAGCUUGCGGCGCUGGCCGGCCCGGUUCAGUGCCCGUCUCCUUGCCUCCCGUGGCCCUGCUGUCGCCUCCACCCCAAGCAGCACUGGUCCUCGUUCAGUGGUUUGUCACUGAGAGGACUGAAGGUCGGACGUCAGAACACAAAAUGGGUAUUUCCGCAAACGCUUCGAAGUUCACCACCCACCUCAGCUCUGGUUCUCACAGGAAGGGACUUUCUUCUUUAGUGACAGAAAGGUCCUCCCAGCUUGUUUGCAAGAACGGGGGCUGGAAGCCACGCUCUGUUGAGGACAAGCACAGUGCUCCCUGCGCCCUGCCCCGGGUCCGUGCGCGGCCCACGCUGCAGUUGCAUCUGAUCUGUCCAACAAAGCGGAAUCUUCCAGACACUUGACGACAGGGCCUCAUCCGACCACUGGGUCACAGCUGUCAUCCCAUGAUUCAGACACCUCUUGGAGACCCUUCUGGGGGGCUGGAGAUGGGGCCACCUGGACAGACAGCCGCCCACUGCCCCCAGAGGGCAAAGUUGUCCUUAUAGGAAGCAACGGUCUGGAGUUGGAUGGUGAACUCCUUUUCUCCAAUUAGGAAGGUGGGUUCAAGUGCGUGGCCACAAGAGCACGACUGGAACUUGAGCCCAGGUCUGCCUCCCUCAAGGCCCUCACUCUUCAUCAGUGAAAUGCACCGCCAGCCAGAGGGCAGGCGGGUCAGGGUGGUCGUGUGGAUGGUGAAGGUGGUGAUAGUGAUGUCGAUGGCUGUGCUGGGAAUGACGGUGGGGUGCGGUGGUUACGGAGGGUGGAGAGGAGAUGGUGGGACACGGUGACAGUGGUGAUGGUUGUAUGUACUGUGCGCAGUGGAGGUGGUGGCUUUGACGGUGGUGACAGGAGUGAUGGGGGGUGGAGAGGACAGUGGGGCUGGGGACGGUUGAUGGUGGAGGUCACGGUUAUGAUGGGGGGUGUGGUAGAGGUGACAGUAAUAGUGGAUGAGGACGAGGAUGCUGGCGAUGGGGGUGCUAUGGUCUGGAUGUUCGUUUAACUGCUGAAAUCCUAACCCCUAAGGUGAUGGUACUUGGAGGUGGGGCUUUGAGAGGUGGUCAGGUUAUGAGGGUGGAGCCUUGCUUUGGGUUAAUGCCCUUAAAAAAGAGACCCCAGAGAGCCCCCUUGCCCCUUCCAUCACCUGAGGACACAGUGAGGUCUGCAGUCCACAACCAAGAAGAGGGCUUUCACCAGAACCCUACCACCCUGGCACCCUGACCUUGGAUUUCCAGCCUCCAGGACGGUGCGAACCAAGAAAAGGCCCUGUGAGAACACUUCGAGAACACAGCCAUCUACUAGCCAAGAGAGCUCUCUCCAGAAACCUAAUGGGCUGCCACCCGUAUAUUGGACCUCCCAGCCUCCAGAACUGUGAGAAAUAAAUGUCUGUUGUUUAAGCCA